rnacentral:pre_miRNA from 1 species
AUAAUACUCCCUCAGUCCGGAAUUACUUGUCAUCAAAAUGGAUGUGUCUAGAACUAAAAUACAUCUAGAUACAUCCAUUUCAAUGACAAGUAUUUUCGGACGGAGGGAGUAGUAG